GAUUAACGCUAGCGGCAGGCCUAAUACAUGCAAGGUCGAGGGGCAGCAGGGUGUAGCAAUACAUCGCUGGCGACCGGCGCACGGGUGCGUAACACGUAUGCAACCUACCUUUAACUGGGGAAUAGCCCUCCGAAAGGAGGAUUAACACCGCAUAACAUCACGAGACGGCAUCGCCUUGUGAUCAAACCUCCGGGGGUUAAAGAUGGGCAUGCGUCCGAUUAGCUAGUUGGCGGGGUAACGGCCCACCAAGGCGACGAUCGGUAGGGGGUCUGAGAGGAUGAUCCCCCACACUGGUACUGAGACACGGACCAGACUCCUACGGGAGGCAGCAGUAAGGAAUAUUGGACAAUGGUCGCAAGACUGAUCCAGCCAUGCCGCGUGCAGGAUGAACGAUCUAUGAUCUGUAAACUGCUUUUGUUCGGGAAUAAACCCCUUCACGUGUGGAGGGCUGAAUGUACCGAAAGAAUAAGGGUCGGCUAACUUCGUG
rnacentral:rRNA from 1 species